CCCAUGUUCUGCUGCAAACCAAGAAAACUUGGAGUAUGAGUAGUGUGCAAGGACAAAAUCCUCUGUUUCUGAGCAGAGACAAAGCCGUGUUUUUUCUCCAUUUCCUUCACUUGUUCUGCAGUUAAUCUUGCUGCAAACCCUUUCAUCACAUUGUGAUAGGAAUAGAUCAUGGUAGCAGCCUCUUCAUUUCCAGUCGAGCUAAUUGCGGUAGUAGUUUUAGGCAAAAAAGAAAGGUAAUAGCUAUCUAAAUCCGUUAACGAUGAUUGAGUAGUAAUUAGGCUUUCAGGGGAUUCAACAUGGACUAUAUAAGUCUCAAGAUCAGUCUGAAUAGUAGGCCAUGGGAAAGAACAAAAGAUGAAAACAAAAAGGAUUUUCAAG